AGAAUCAACGCUGGCGGCGUGCCUAACACAUGCAAGUCGAACGAGAAAGGGGUAGCAAUACCCUGAGUAAAGUGGCGCACGGGUGAGUAACACGUGACUAACCUACCCUGGAGUGGGGGAUAACUGAGGGAAACCUUAGCUAAUACCGCAUAACACCUACGGGUCAAAGGAGCAAUUCGCUUCAGGAGGGGGUCGCGGCCGAUUAGUUAGUUGGCGGGGUAAUGGCCCACCAAGACGAUGAUCGGUAUCCGGCCUGAGAGGGCGCACGGACACACUGGAACUGAAACACGGUCCAGACUCCUACGGGAGGCAGCAGUGGGGAAUUUUGCGCAAUGGGGGAAACCCUGACGCAACAACGCCGCGUGGAGGAUGAAGUCCUUCGGGACGUAAACUCCUUUCGAUCGGGACGAUAAUGACGGUACCGAGAGAAGAAGCCCCGGCUAACUUCGUGCCAGCAGCCGC
rnacentral:rRNA from 1 species